CCUACGGGAGGCAGCAGUGAGGAAUAUUGGUCAAUGGUCGAGAGUCUGAACCAGCCAAGUCGCGUGAGGGAUGAAGGUCCUGUGGAUUGUAAACUUCUUUUGUAUGGGAAUAAAGCAGGGUAUGGGUACCCUGUUGUGUGUACCAUAUGAAUAAGGAUCGGCUAACUCCGUGCCAGCAGCCGCUGUAAUACGGAGGAUGCGAGCGUUAUCCGGAUUUAUUGGGUUUAAAGGGAGCGUAGGUGGAUUGUUAAGUCAGUUGUGAAAGGUUGGGGCUCAACCGUAAAAUUGCAGUUGAAACUGGCAGUCUCGAGUAGGUGAGAAGUAUGCGGAAUGCGUGGUGUAGCGGUGAAAUGCUUAGAUAUCGCGAAGAACUCCGAUUGCGAAGGCAGCUCGCCGG
rnacentral:rRNA from 1 species